AUACGGAGGAUCCGAGCGUUAUCCGGAUUUAUUGGGUUUAAAGGGUGCGCAGGCGGCCAUUUAAGUCAGCGGUUAAAUCGUGGGGCUCAACCCCAUUCUGCCGUUGAUACUGGGUGGCUUGAUUGCGGUCGAGGUUGGCGGAAUUCGUUGUGUAGCGGUGAAAUGCAUAGAUAUGACGAAGAACACCGAUUGCGUAGGCAGCUGACCAGACCGCAAAUGACGCUCAUGCACGAAAGUGCGUGGAUCGAACAGGAUUAGAUACCCUGGUAGUCCGCACAGUAAACGAUGAAUACUUGUUUUCGGCGAUAUAAUGUCGGAGGCAAAGCGAAAGCGAUAAGUAUUCCACCUGGGGAGUACGCCGGAAACGGUGAAACUCAAAGGAAUUGACGGG
rnacentral:rRNA from 1 species